rnacentral:rRNA from 1 species
UAGCUUGGGGCCGAGCGACCUGAGGGGUACGUCCGGGGUAGGAGUGAAAUCCCGUAAUCCCGGACGGACCAUCGGUGGCGAAAGCGCCUCAGGAGAGCGGAUCCGACGGUGAGGGACGAAAGCUAGGGUCUCGAACCGGAUUAGAUACCCGGGUAGUCCUAGCCGUAAACGAUGCUCGCUAGGUGUGGCGCUGGCUACGAGCCAGCGCUGUGCCGUAGGGAAGCCGUGAAGCGAGCCGCCUGGGAAGUACGUCCGCAAGGAUGAAACUUAAAGGAAUUGGCGGGGGAGCACUACAACCGGAGGAGCCUGCGGUUUAAUUGGACUCAACGCCGGACAUCUCACCGGCACCGACUGUAGUAAUGACGGUCAGGUUGAUGACCUUGCCACGAGCUACAGAGAGGAGGUGCAUGGCCGCCGUCAGCUCGUACCGUGAGGCGUCCUGUUAAGUCAGGCAACGAGCGAGACCCGUGUCCCUAAUUGCCAGCAACGCCGCGAGGCGGUUGGGUACAUUAAGGAGACUGCCGCUGCUAAAGCGGAGGAAGGAACGGGCAACGGUAGGUCAGUAUGCCCCGAAUGUGCCGGGCUACACGCGGGCUACAAUGGCCGGGACAGUGGGACGCGACACCGAGAGGUGGA